UACGUAGGAGGCGAGCGUUGUCCGGAAUUACUGGGCGUAAAGCGCGCGUAGGCGGCGCGACGCGACCGGUGUGAAAGCCCCCGGCUCAACUGGGGAGGGUCAUCGGUAACGGUCGUGCUGUGAGUGCAGGAGAGGGAUGUGGAACUCCGGGAGUAGCGGUGAAAUGCAUAGAGACCCGGAGGAACACCGACGGCGCAGGCAGCGUCCUGGCCGCUUGCUGACACUGAGGCACGAAAGCUGGGGGAGCAAACAGG
rnacentral:rRNA from 1 species